GACGAACGCUGGCGGCGUGCCUAAUACAUGCAAGUUGAGCGAUGAAGAUUGGUGCUUGCACCAAUUUGAAGAGCAGCGAACGGGUGAGUAACGCGUGGGGAAUCUGCCUUUGAGCGGGGGACAACAUCUGGAAACGAAUGCUAAUACCGCAUAACAACUUUAAACAUAAGUUUUAAGUUUGAAAGAUGCAAUUGCAUCACUCAAAGAUGAUCCCGCGUUGUAUUAGCUAGUUGGUGAGGUAAAGGCUCACCAAGGCGAUGAUACAUAGCCGACCUGAGAGGGUGGUCGGCCAAAUUGGGACUGGGACACGGCCCAAACUCCUACGGGAGGCAGCAGUAGGGAAUCUUCGGCAAUGGACGAAAGUCUGACCGAGCAACGCCGCGUGAGUGAAGAAGGUUUUCGGAUCGUAAAACUCUGUUGGUAGAGAAGAACGUUGGUGAGAGUGGAAAGCUCAUCAAGUGACGGUAACUACACAGAAAGGGACGGCUAACUACGUG
rnacentral:rRNA from 1 species